UACGGAGGGUGCUAGCGUUGUUCGGAAUUACUGGGCGUAAAGCGCGCGUAGGCGGCUUUGUAAGUUAGAGGUGAAAGCCCGGGGCUCAACCCCGGAACUGCCUUUAAAACUGCAUCGCUUGAAUCCAGGAGAGGUGAGUGGAAUUCCGAGUGUAGAGGUGAAAUUCGUAGAUAUUCGGAAGAACACCAGUGGCGAAGGCGGCUCACUGGACUGGUAUUGACGCUGAGGUGCGAAAGCGUGGGGAGCAAACAGG
rnacentral:rRNA from 1 species